UGGGGAAUAUUGCACAAUGGGCGGAAGCCUGAUGCAGCGACGCCGCGUGGGGGAUGAAGGCCUUCGGGUUGUAAACUCCUUUCGACAGGGACGAGGCUUUUUUGACGGUACCUGUAUAAGAAGCACCGGCUAACUACGUGCCAGCAGCCGCGGUAAUACGUAGGGUGCGAGCGUUGUCCGGAAUUACUGGGCGUAAAGAGCUCGUAGGUGGUUUGUCGCGUCGUCUGUGAAAUUCCGGGGCUUAACUCCGGGCGUGCAGGCGAUACGGGCUGACUUGAGUGCUGUAGGGGAGACUGGAAUUCCUGGUGUAGCGGUGAAAUGCGCAGAUAUCAGGAGGAACACCGAUGGCGAAGGCAGGUCUCUGGGCAGUAACUGACGCUGAGGAGCGAAAGCAUGGGUAGCGAACAGG
rnacentral:rRNA from 1 species